rnacentral:rRNA from 1 species
GAUGAACGCUGGCGGCGUGCUUAACACAUGCCAGUCGAACGAUGAAGCCCAGCUUGCUGGGUGGAUUAGUGGCGAACGGGUGAGUAACACGUGAGCAACCUGCCCCUGACUCUGGGAUAAGCGCUGGAAACGGCGUCUAAUACUGGAUAUGUCCCGUCACCGCAUGGUGUGCGGGUGGAAAGAUUUUUCGGUUGGGGAUGGGCUCGCGGCCUAUCAGCUUGUUGGUGAGGUAAUGGCUCACCAAGGCGUCGACGGGUAGCCGGCCUGAGAGGGUGACCGGCCACACUGGGACUGAGACACGGCCCAGACUCCUACGGGAGGCAGCAGUGGGGAAUAUUGCACAAUGGGCGGAAGCCUGAUGCAGCAACGCCGCGUGAGGGAUGACGGCCUUCGGGUUGUAAACCUCUUUUAGCAGGGAAGGAGCGAAAGUGACGGUACCUGCAGAAAAAGCACCGGCUAACUACGUG